UUGCUUGCCGAACGGCGGACGGGUGAGUAUGGCUUGGGAACAUUCCUUGAGGUGGGGGACAACAGUUGGAAACGAAUGCUAAUUCCGCAUAAUGUCUACGGACCAAAGGGGGCUUAGGCUCUCGCCUUUAGAUUGGCCCAAGUGGGAUUAGCUAGUUGGUGAGGUAAUGGCUCACCAAGGCGACGAUCCCUAGCUGGUUUGAGAGGAUGAUCAGCCACACUGGGACUGAGACACGGCCCAGACUCCUACGGGAGGCAGCAGUGGGGAAUAUUGCACAAUGGGCGCAAGCCUGAUGCAGCCAUGCCGCGUGUGUGAAGAAGGCCUUCGGGUUGUAAAGCACUUUCAGUCAGGAGGAAAGGUUAGUAGUUAAUACCUGCUAGCUGUGACGUUACUGACAGAAGAAGCACCGGCUAACUCCGUGCCAGCAGCCGCGGUAAUACGGAGGGUGCGAGCGUUAAUCGGAAUUACUGGGCGUAAAGCGUACGCAGGCGGUUUGUUAAGCGAGAUGUGAAAGCCCCGGGCUCAACCUGGGAACUGCAUUUCGAACUGGCAAACUAGAGUGUGAUAGAGGGUGGUAGAAUUUCAGGUGUAGCGGUGAAAUGCGUAGAGAUCUGAAGGAAUACCGAUGGCGAAGGCAGCCACCUGGGUCAACACUGACGCUCAGUACGAAAGG
rnacentral:rRNA from 1 species